rnacentral:rRNA from 1 species
GCUUAACACAUGCAAGUCGUGCGACGAACCAGACUUCGGGUCUAGGGGCAAAGCGGCGAACGGGUGAGUAACACGUGGGUAAUCUGCCCCGAUGACUGGGACGAACCCGAGGAAACUCGGGCUAAUACCGGAUGUGGUGCCUGGACUCAAGUCCGGUCACUAAAGGUAGCUUCGGCUUCCGCAUUGGGAGGGGCCCGCGGCCCAUUAGCUUGUUGGUGGGGUCAAGGCCUACCAAGGCAACGAUGGGUAGCUGGUCUGAGAGGACGAUCAGCCACACUGGGACUGAGACACGGCCCAGACUCCUACGGGAGGCAGCAGUGGGGAAUCUUGCGCAAUGCGCGAAAGCGUGACGCAGCAACACCGCGUGAGGGAAGACGGCCUUAGGGUUGUAAACCUCUUUCAGAUGGGACGAAGGUGAUGCGGUGAAUAGCCGAUGUCAUUGACGGUACCGUCAGAAGAAGCUCCGGCUAACUACGUG